AUGGAUCCCCCUACUCCCGGGGUGGCAAAACUGAGAGUGGACGGUGUUGUUUCCAAAGAUUUAAAUGAAGGAUCUUUUAGUGAUGUGUGCAAAAACUCAGAGGGUAUGUUUUUGGGAGCCUCGUGUAUGAAGUACAGUGGGUUGACCGAUCCAGCUACUCUGGAGGCGUUGGCAUGCCAUGAAGCACUAGCGCUGGCAGCAGAUCUCCAGUUGACUAGAGUGGUGAUUGCAUCUGAUUGCCAAGGCGUGGUUUGAGAUAUUCAUGAAUGAACAGGAGGAAUGUAUGCACAGAUAGUUAAGGAGAUUAAUGAGACAACUACCUAUUUUCAGUAGUGCUGCUUUAUCUUUGAAGGACGAGAGACUAAUGUCGAGGCACAUAGCCUAGCUAAACAUGCUUUUGGUCUUGAAGUCGGGCGCCAUUUGUGGCUUAUAAACACACCAGACAUUGAUUGUAUCCCUAUGAACAUUGAUUGA
rnacentral:rRNA from 1 species